rnacentral:rRNA from 1 species
UACGUAGGGGGCAAGCGUUGUCCGGAUUUAUUGGGCGUAAAGAGCGUGUAGGCGGUUAGGUAGGUCCGUUGUGAAAACUCGAGGCUCAACCUCGAGACGCCGAUGGAAACCAUCUAACUAGAGUCCGGAAGAGGAGAGUGGAAUUCCUGGUGUAGCGGUGAAAUGCGCAGAUAUCAGGAGGAACACCGGUGGCGAAGGCGCCACUCUGGGCCGGUACUGACGCUGAGGAGCGAAAGCGUGGGGAGCGAACAGG